UAAGAUGCUAUGGAAAUUCAGAGAAGGAGCGAUUGGAAACAGUGGAGGAAACUUUAUUGUAGAAGGGGAUUUUAAAGUAGUUUCCUGGAGUUCCUGUUGUGGCACAGCAGAAACGAAUCCGACUAGGAACCACAAGGUUGUGGGUUCGAUCCCUGGUCUUGCUCAGUGGGUUAAGGAUCCGGUGUUGCUGUGAGCUAUGGUGUAGUUGCAGACACGGCUUGGAUCUGGCGUGGCUGUGGCUCUGGCCCAGGCAGGUAGCAACUAGUUUGAUUAGACCCCUAGCCUGGCAACCUCCACAUGCCACAGGUGUGGCCCUCAAAAGACAAAAGACAAAAAUAAAAUAAAGUAUUUUCCUGAGGAUCAAAUGUGAUUAUGACAGAAACUUUUCUAAUCUGUAAAGUUCUAUAAUACACCAGCUCUUAUGAAGAUUCAGGUCCAUAGUAUUACACACUAUAGGAUGGUACUACUUACACAAUAACAACCAUAUUAUGUUAAUGGAGUUCCCUGGUGGCACAGUGGGUUAAGGAUCUGGUGUUGUCACUGCAGUGGCUCAGGUCACUGCUAGGGUGAGGGUUCCAUUCCUGGCCUGGGAACUUCCACAUGCCUUGGGUGCAACCAAAAAAAAUAAAUAAAUAAAUGUUAAUAGUUAACUGAACCUCACACUUAGCCUGUGCCAGGCACCACAUGAGUUGCCUUGCAUUAAUAAUUAGAUAUUUCCUUUUUAAAUAUUAGGCGAUGAUGCAGAAAUGGGGACCCCUCACAGAGCCCUGGGUAUAUGUGUGCAAAUCCAGUGGGCUGUUGGUAGGGUGGCUGUGGGUGGCCUAGGCUUCCAAGGAGCAAGGGCUCUGAGGAUGGGGGAGACCUGCUGGCAUCCUGGGUCCCUGUUCCGGGUGUUGCCAGAGUAAUGCUGCCUGGAGGCCCAGCCAAGGCCACUUCAUGUAUAAAGAAAACAAGUGGGUGAAUCAGCACCAAGAGUGGCUCAUCUCCUCCCUUUCUGCCCUGCUCAUCACAUCCCCUGGCUGCGGCCCAAGGCCAAACCAGGGAAGGAAGUAACCCAGAGAAGGAAGCUUGGAAGGACUUGAUUAGACAGAUACCCAUCCUGGGAAGGGGCUAGGAGACGCUCAGCUUUGUGCCAACUGGAAAUUGCCAAGACCAGCUUAGCAGGUGAGGGCUGAAGAACGGGUGCUGUGAAACUUAAGAAAAAGUUAAUAUAAAACAAGACACAGAGACAUUUAUCUUAAUUAAAGGUGGGAACCAGGGGACUCAAGGACUCAGGGACCAAGAGCCCCACCUCAAGAAGCCACACUGCUUUUAUUGUGCUCUUUAGGAUUACGUCAAGUGAGGAGGGGGCUAUAGGUGCAGGAUAUAGUUUUUCUUUUAUUUUGUUUUAUUUUAUUUAUUUGUCUUUUUGCCUUUUCUAGGGCUGCUCCCGCAGCAUAUGGAGGUUCCCAGGCUAGGGGUCUAAUCGGAGCUGUAGCCACCAGCCUACCCCAGAGCCACAGCAAUGCAGGAUCCGAGCCGCAUCUGUGACUUACACCACAGCUCACGGCAAUGCUGAAUCCUUAACCCACUGAGCGAGGCCAGGGAUCGAACCCGAAACCUCAUGGUUCCUAGUCGGAUUCGUUAACCACUGAGCCAUGACAGGAACUCCUUUUUAUUAUUUUAAAAGUCAUAUAGCUGUAGCUGGUUAAGCUUUUAUUCGGACCUUUAGGCAUUUAACAAUCAUUAGCAUCGAGGAAGCUUGGCGUCAGCUGUCUAUGCAUAGCAUCUAGAGAAUCACCUUGUGCUUCUGCAGACCAGGUGCCUAUCUGCAGCAACCAGUGUGCUUAGGUUUGCACCUUAGUUCUCCUUGCUAAUGCAUAUCCUGCUAACAACCCCUCAUAAACCUCUUGGGGCCAUGAGGCUCAUCAUCCUCUUAUUCUUUAGAGGACAUAUCAUGCUGUUCAAACAGAUGUGCCUAUCUGCACAGGUCCGGUGUGCCUAGACCAAUGCAUUAUGUCCUCAUUCAGCUGACCACAUGAAUAACUUAUGCCUUUAGGUCUUUGUUCUUAAGCUGAAGUCAUUUACCAGCACUGCAACUGGUUUUCAAGCAAGAAUAUAGGGUAAAGUUUAAGGAGGACAAGAUGGAGUUUUUAGCAUAGAAAAUAGAAACAGAGAGGCUAAGAAAAGACUGUAGAAAUGUGUCUCCCGAUAAGAAAUGCCACUCCACCUGUUCUGUCCCGUCACAACAACUCCUUGGCUCCUUAACCCAUUGUGCCACCAGGGAACUCCAUUAACAUAAUUAUAGUUUUCAUUGUGUUAAGUAGUACCAUCCUACAGUGUGUAAUAUUAUGCACCCGAAUCUCUCCUUCCUGAAAGUGGUGGUCGUCAUGCCAUCACAUGCCCGUCGGCCACUUCAUGGGGAGAGAAAAAGCACAAGGGAUGGGGUUCCCACUGUGGCUCAGUGGUAACGAACCUGACUAAUACCUGUGAGGAUGUGGGUUCGAUCGCUGGCCUCGCUGUGGUUGUGGUGUUGCCGAGAGCUGUGGUGUAGGUCGCAGUNGUGGUGUAGGUCACAGUCAUGGCUUGGAUCCCAUGUUGCUGCGGCUGUGGCAAAGGCUGGCAACUGCGGCUCUGAUUCGACCCCUAGCCUGGGAACUUCCAUAUGCGGCAGGUGUGGCCCUUAAAAAAAAAAAAAAGUAAGAGGCAAAUGGGCCAGGCUGUCCUCUGCACGGUGGUGACCCCUUGGCAAGGCCAAGGAUCAAACUGUGAUCCAGUGUCCAGGCCUCUCAUGGGAGAGUGUCUGAAGGUCGCCCAAAGUUAAGCUUGACAGCGCAUCUGCCAUGCACGUGCCCUCCAAGGGCUCUUGCUGCUUACAGACUGGAGAGGAGUGGGGCUUGAUUAAGGUUCUCUAGAGUCAGGUUCUCUAAGAACAUCCCAAUUCACGGCUCACGUGACAAAGGUCAAGACUUUUCAGCCUGAGCCCUGCCUGGGGAACUUAGAGCCACUUUGCUUGCUGUUUAUGAAUUUGGGCACCUGUUGAGUUACUGGACCCUGAACAGCAAGGGAAGCUCAGCCCUUUGACACCAAGAUGAAACAGGAACAGAAGCAGUGGGUGCAGAUGGGCAAUAGCCCGGAGGUUGACCAAUACCUGCAUAGCUUAGGGCUAAUCUGUUGUGACUGCCCAGGAGCUGGGACCAGUGCCCCUGGUGGGGGGUAGGGGUGGAGAUGAGAAUAGAGCAGGGGACCGGGCUUCAUUUCUGCGGAGCUUCUGGUGGCAGGUCUAGGAGACAUGGAGCUUGCUUGGGGCAGGGCCCAACACUGCCUCCAAGUUGUCUUAUGGCCACAGCAGCUGAAAUAGCUUCUUUGGCCUCAGCUUCCUCGUAAUUAAAAUGAUACAGCUGUGGGAUUUCCCAUCAUGGCUCAGUGGUAACGAACCCGACUAGUAUCCAUGAGGACACAGGUUCGAUCCCUGGCCUCGAUCAGUGGGUUAAGAAUCCGGCGUUGCCAUGAGCUAUGGUGUAGGUUGCAGAUGUGGCUUGGAUCUGGCAUUGCUGUGGCUGUGGUGCAGGCUAGCAAUUGUGGCUCUGAUUCAACCCCUAGCCUGGGAACUUCAAUAUGCUGGGGGUGAGGCCCUAAAAAGCAAAAAAAAAAGAGAGAGAGAGAGAAUUGUGCCCAAAGAAUCUUAAGGCUUUCCUGCAGCUGAAGCCUCCAUUGAAUUCCAGAGCCUAAGGUGGUGGCACCUACAACGUGGGUUCCUGGUCUCUUGGUCCCUUUAGGGAAGGAGCUGAGGGUGUCAGUUCAGACUCCUAACAUGGGAUGUCCACACUGCCCUGGCGUGGUGAAUUCUGACCCCUGGCUCUGGCCCAAGAGCUUUGCAAAUGGCACGCAGGCUGUGGGUAUCUGGUCCUGGCAGGCAUCGCUGGUGGAUCACAGUAUUAUUUAUUUCAAACACCUCUCAACCUAGAGCCCCAAGCAGACCCUCCUGCUAAAUUAGCGUAGGCUGACUAGCUGAAACUUACGUGUCACCUCUGCUCUCAUCUUUUUCUUCCCAGUGGGGUAUUCCUCAUAGGAUGACAUCAAACUAACUGGCUUGCGUGGAAAAUUCAGCUAUUAUAUGAGAUGACCACGUCUUAAUUAGGCUUUAAGUAAUUAAACUCCGGAGGCAAUAAUCUUUGUAUUUCAGCAUUAUAUUAAUGAUGGAGUUUGUUCUCAUAAUUUAGCACUGCAUAAACAAAGAUGCCAUUCCCACAGAAUCAAGGCUUGUGGAGAAGAGAAAGAGUAAGCAUGUGUCUGGACAUCUCUUUGGUUUCCUGCAAGAAACAGAGUGCGUUUCCUCAUAACACAUGCAGUGAUAAUAUUGUUUUCUCAGUUCUGAGUAAUGGUGUUACUUGCGUCUCCUUUGGGAGAGUUCCAUAACCUAGUGGAGUUUCACAACAUUUGGCCCUAAUUAUCUUUUACUUAAUUGAAUUCAUUUGAUUUAAUUUAGAUUAAAUCUGUGCCAAGCUAAGUUAUCCAUCCAUCCCUUUCCUUGGAAGUAGACACAGCAAUUACUGGAAGGGAGCUGUCACAUCCCCUCUCCACCAUCCAAAAGGGUUAAAAAUCUUUUGGUGUUUGUGUUACAUCAUCUACGCUGAUGUCGAAUGCUCUUCCCAGAAUCAUGUGCAACUUUUCUACAUUAUGAUAAAUCACAUAUACUUGGGAACUUUUUUCUCUCAUUGUCAACAAAGUUGGUGUAGGUUUUUUGAAUUUUAGCCUGCUGAAACUUGUAUUUUUCCUUCUUUCUUUCUUUGUUUUUGACCACCCUACAGCAUAUGGAGUUCCUGGGCCAGGGAUCAGAUUCAAGCUGCAAUUGAGACUUAUGCUGCAGCUGCGGCAAUGCCAAAUCCUAAAUCCACCGUGCUGGGCCAGGGAUAGAACAUGCAUCCCAGUGCUCCCAAGAUGCAAAGAUCCCAUUGGGCCACAGCAAGAACUCCUGUGUCUACGUUUCAUAAUCUUCACUUAGUGACAGUUUCUUCCAUAACUCAAAGUAAGGACCAAAGAAGAGCAGAAGCAUGGAGCUCUGGUUAUCAGGAGGGGCCAGGUGUCGGUGUGCUUUCCUGGAGAUGCCACAGACCACAGGGAGACAUUGCGAAUGCCUGGGCUCUGUAACAAGACUUCUCCACUCUGAUGAACACUCCUGCAUAAUAAAAUGAAGACAACUGGAGUUCCUGUUGUGGCUCAGUGGGUGAAGAACCCAACAAAGCGUCUGUAAGGAUACGACUUUGACUACUGGCCUCUCUCAGUGGGUUGAGGAUCGGGUGUUGCUGCAGCUGUGGCUCAGAUUCGAUCCCUAGCCUGAGAACUUAUCUAUGCUGUGAGUGCGGCUGAAAAAAUAAUGCUGCUGCUGAUAAUAGUAGUAGUAAUAAUAGGAAUAAUAUCCCUGUGCAGUAUUUUUCUCUGUUGGCGGAAACCAGUGGGAUGAAUUGAUCAAACUUCAUGCGUGUGAGGGCAUAAGCCUGUGCCUGGGGAAACGUCUGUGUGUGCGUCCCUGAGCUUCUGCAUCUUGACAAACCAUGCCCUGUGGGCAGCAUCUUCUGACGUAUUUUCCUAGCAGAGUCUGGUGGUUCCAGAGGAAACAAUGUACCUAUAAAUAGUCACUGUCACAAGUGGUCCAGUGACAAGGCUCCUGCACUCAAAUAUCAAUGUCAGUGAUUUUAGCAGAGGAGUGAUUUAAUUAAAAAGUAACACAGUUCAGUACAACAAAGCAGCAUCAUAAUCACUUAAAACUGCCUUUGAAUUGCUCUAGGGUAUGGCCUGAUUUCAAAUUAAUUUGGUCUGUUUCUUCAGAUUUAUCUUCAUUCCCAAACUCAAAUACAGCAAGAAAGAAGUAGCCUAGUGUAAACGCACAUUGUAAGAAGGCUGAUAGAGCUUAAAAUGUCAAAAACUCUCUUCUAUAUCACAUUGAAAACUAAAAAAAA
rnacentral:lncRNA from 1 species